rnacentral:rRNA from 1 species
ACGGGUGAGUAACACGUGGGAACGUACCCUUUGGUUCGGAAUAACGCUGGGAAACUAGCGCUAAUACCGGAUACGCCCUUGGCCUUUGGCCCUUGGGGAAAGGCUUGCUGCCGAAGGAUCGGCCCGCGUCUGAUUAGCUAGUUGGUGGGGUAAUGGCCUACCAAGGCGACGAUCAGUAGCUGGUCUGAGAGGAUGAUCAGCCACACUGGGACUGAGACACGGCCCAGACUCCUACGGGAGGCAGCAGUGGGGAAUAUUGGACAAUGGGCGCAAGCCUGAUCCAGCCAUGCCGCGUGAGUGAUGAAGGCCUUAGGGUUGUAAAGCUCUUUUGUCCGGGACGAUAAUGACGGUACCGGAAGAAUAAGCCCCGGCUAACUUCGUGCCAGCAGCCGCGGUAAUACGAAGGGGGCUAGCGUUGCUCGGAAUCACUGGGCGUAAAGGGCGCGUAGGCGGCCAUUCAAGUCGGGGGUGAAAGCCUGUGGCUCAACCACAGAAUUGCCUUCGAUACUGUUUGGCUUGAGUUUGGUAGAGGUUGGUGGAACUGCGAGUGUAGAGGUGAAAUUCGUAGA